rnacentral:tRNA from 1 species
CGGGGCGUAGCGCAGCUUGGUAGCGCAUCUGCUUUGGGAGCAGAGGGUCGCAUGUUCGAAUCAUGUCGCCCCGACCA